rnacentral:miRNA from 1 species
AUAACAAGAUUGUUACAAGGUUGUUCUAACAAGUCUGAUACAAUCAUGAUAUAACAAGAAUGUUACAAAGUUGACGACACAAGGUUGUAACAAUAUUGUUAUGUCAUGACUGUAUUGGACUUGUUGGAACAACCUUGCAUCAAGUCUAAUAAU